rfam:Triticum aestivum genome assembly, contig: Triticum_aestivum_CS42_TGACv1_scaffold_582596_7BL
UUACUACUCGCUCUGUUCGGAAUUACUCGUCGCGAAAAUGGAUGUAUCUAGACGUAUUUUAGUUCUAGAUACAUUCAUUUCCGAGACAAGUAAUUCCGAACGGAGGGAGUAGUAA